rnacentral:rRNA from 1 species
GAAUCGUAAGGUUUGCUGGAGGUAUCAGAAGUGCGAAUGCUGACAUGAGUAACGACAAAGGGGGUGAAAAACCUCCUCGCCGGAAGACCAAGGGUUCCUGUCCAACGUUAAUCGGGGCAGGGUGAGUCGACCCCUAAGGUGAGGCCGAAAGGCGUAAUCGAUGGGAAACGGGUUAAUAUUCCCGUACUUCUGACUAUUGCGAUGGGGGGACGGAGAAGGCUAGGUGGGCCAGGCGACGGUUGUCCUGGUUCAAGUGCGUAGGCUUGAGAGUUAGGUAAAUCCGGCUCUCUCUAAGGCUGAGACACGACGUCGAGCUACUACGGUAGUGAAGUCAUUGAUGCCAUGCUUCCAGGAAAAGCCUCUAAGCUUCAGAUAGUCAGGAAUCGUACCCCAAACCGACACAGGUGGUCGGGUAGAGAAUACCAAGGCGCUUGAGAGAACUCGGGUGAAGGAACUAGGCAAAAUGGUACCGUAACUUCGGGAGAAGGUACGCUCUUGAUGGUGAAGUCCCUCGCGGAUGGAGCUGACGAGAGUCGCAGAUACCAGGUGGCUGCAACUGUUUAUUAAAAACACAGCACUGUGCAAAAUCGCAAGAUGACGUAUACGGUGUGACGCCUGCCCGGUGCCGGAAGGUUAAUUGAUGGGGUUAGCGCAAGCGAAGCUCUUGAUCGAAGCCCCGGUAAACGGCGGCCGUAACUAUAACGGUCCUAAGGUAGCGAAAUUCCUUGUCGGGUAAGUUCCGACCUGCACGAAUGGCGUAAUGAUGGCCACGCUGUCUCCACCCGAGACUCAGUGAAAUUGAAAUCGCUGUGAAGAUGCAGUGUACCCGCGGCUAGACGGAAAGACCCCGUGAACCUUUACUACAGCUUGGCACUGAACAUUGAACCUACAUGUGUAGGAUAGGUGGGAGGCUAUGAAGACGUGACGCCAGUUGCGUUGGAGCCGUCCUUGAAAUACCACCCUUGUAUGUUUGAUGUUCUAACUUAGACCCAUUAUCUGGGUUGAGGACAGUGCCUGGUGGGUAGUUUGACUGGGGCGGUCUCCUCCCAAAGAGUAACGGAGGAGCACGAAGGUGGGCUAAUCACGGUUGGACAUCGUGAGGUUAGUGCAAUGGCAUAAGCCCGCUUAACUGCGAGAAUGACGGUUCGAGCAGGUGCGAAAGCAGGUCAUAGUGAUCCGGUGGUUCUGUAUGGAAGGGCCAUCGCUCAACGGAUAAAAGGUACUCCGGGGAUAACAGGCUGAUACCGCCCAAGAGUUCAUAUCGACGGCGGUGUUUGGCACCUCGAUGUCGGCUCAUCACAUCCUGGGGCUGAAGUCGGUCCCAAGGGUAUGGCUGUUCGCCAUUUAAAGUGGUACGCGAGCUGGGUUUAGAACGUCGUGAGACAGUUCGGUCCCUAUCUGCCGUGGGCGUUGGAAGAUUGAAGGGGGCUGCUCCUAGUACGAGAGGACCGGAGUGGACGAACCUCUGGUGUUCGGGUUGUGUCGCCAGACGCAUUGCCCGGUAGCUAAGUUCGGAAUUGAUAAGCGCUGAAAGCAUCUAAGCGCGAAGCGAGCCCUGAGAUGAGUCUUCCCUGACAGUUUAACUGUCCUAAAGGGUUGUUCGAGACUAGAACGUUGAUAGGCAGGGUGUGUAAGCGUUGUGAGGCGUUGAGCUAACCUGUACUAAUUGCCCGUGAGGCUUAACCAU